rnacentral:rRNA from 1 species
UUAUGGCUCAGGACGAACGCUGGCGGCGUGCCUAACACAUGCAAGUCGAACGGACGAGGGGAGCUUGCUCCCCAAGUUAGUGGCGGACGGGUGAGUAACACGUGAGCAACCUGCCCUUCGAGGGGGACAACAGCCGGAAACGGCUGCUAAUACCGCAUGACAUAUCCUUGAGGCAUCUCGGGGAUAUCAAAGAUUUAUCGCCGAAGGAUGGGCUCGCGUCUGAUUAGCUGGUUGGUGAGGUAACGGCUCACCAAGGCGACGAUCAGUAGCCGGACUGAGAGGUUGAACGGCCACAUUGGGACUGAGAUACGGCCCAGACUCCUACGGGAGGCAGCAGUGGGGAAUAUUGGGCAAUGGGGGGCAACCCUGACCCAGCAACGCCGCGUGAAGGAAGAAGGCUUUCGGGUUGUAAACUUCUUUGACGAGGGACGAUAAUGACGGUACCUCGAAAACAAGCCACGGCUAACUACGUGCCAGCAGCGGC